rnacentral:rRNA from 1 species
UUGACGGGGCCCGGCACAAGCGGUGGAGCAUGUGGUUUAAUUCGAAGCAACGCGAAGAACCUUACCAGGUCUUGACAUCCCUCGACAACCCGAGAGAUCGGGCGUUCCCCUUCGGGGGACAGGGUGACAGGUGGUGCAUGGUUGUCGUCAGCUCGUGUCGUGAGAUGUUGGGUUAAGUCCCGCAACGAGCGCAACCCUCGACCUUAGUUGCCAGCAUUCAGUUGGGCACUCUAAGGUGACUGCCGGCUAAAAGUCGGAGGAAGUGGGGAUGACGUCAAAUCAUCAUGCCCCUUAUGACCUGGGCUACACACGUGCUACAAUGGGCGGUACAAAGGGUCGCGAACCCGCGAGGGGGAGCCAAUCCCAAAAAGCCGCUCUCAGUUCGGAUUGCAGGCUGCAACUCGCCUGCAUGAAGCCGGAAUCGCUAGUAAUCGCGGAUCAGCAUGCCGCGGUCGAAUACGUUCCCGGGCCUU